AACUGAAAUUAUUAUCAACGCGAACGUCUAUACGCACGGAGGUGCCUCUUCGUUGCUUAAAGUUAACGUACUCUAUAAUUCACUUUAUAAUUGAAACUCAAUAUAUAACUCUAGUAGUCAAUCGACAUUAAAUCUUUAAACAAACACUUUUAUAAUUGUAUACCUAAAUUGAAUUGAUUAAACGCUCUAUUGAAUUAAAACCGAACUCUUUGAAUUCUCCAUCAGACUAAAAUCCCCCUUUAAUAUAGCGCCGCUAUAUUAAACAUGGUUCUUUACGCCGUCAAUUAAAAAAGAAUCGGCAUUCAACGCAUAGCGAUACUUUACACACGUACCUAUUUAAACAAAGAAGAGAAACUUAUUCAGUGACGGUCGCAUGAAAAAAAAACGAGUAUCUAAAACUAAUUUAAUUAAAAACAUAUUAUUGAUGAACAUAUCCCAAAUUCAUAAACUGCAAGGAAAACAACUAAAUACAAAGAAAAUAGUGUGGUGAAAAAAGAAUACAAACUUAAAACAAAGCACUUGAUAAGUGAAAACUCAAAUCUGGUGUAUACGCUUACUAAUAAUUAAAAAGAACAGCUUGAACUCUAAUAAAAUACACAAAAAUUAACCACGGAACGAAAAAGACUUCAAAAACAAAGAACGAGAAGAUACGAAAGCGUUUAAGUGACCCAGCAAGGCGUUCAAAGCCUGGAAGAGGUGACACGCAGACAAGGAGCCAGGAAGAGAAGGAAAAAACCCUGCCCGAACCCCAACCGGAACACAGGUUACAGGACAUAAAAAUAUAUCGCAAUUUUUAUCGCCGCAAACUGAAAUACGUGCACUGAUUGAAGGACAAAUGUUACAUAAACGAGCCGUAGCCUCAGACAUGGGAUUCCACUUCGGCGAUGAGACAAAAAUUGUUGCCACAGGAGGAGCAUCUGUAAAUAAGUCUAUUUUACAAGUAAUAUCGGAUGUUUUCAAUGCACCAGUUUUUGUUCAGAAUGAAAGUGAGGCUGCUUUGUUUGGUGCCGCGUACCGUGCAAAAUAUGCAAUAUAUUUAAAUUCGUUAGUAGACGUCAGUCGUAUAUGUCAUGAAAAUAACAACGUGCAGCACACAGCAACGACCGGGCCAUUAAGCUACCUCGAUUACAUAACACGGUUCAUUCCAAAUCAUCUACGGAUAGUUUGUGAACCCAGUAAGGAUUGUGAGCAAAUUUAUUCACCAAUGGUAGAACGUUACCGAAAAAUGGCGUUGAUAUUGGCAAAAAAA